UGAGGAAUAUUGUUCAAUGGACGCAAGUCUGAACCAGCCAAGUAGCGUGCAGGAUGACGGCCCUAUGGGUUGUAAACUGCUUUUGUUUGGGUAUAAUCGACAUUACGUGUAAUGUUUUGCAUGUACCAUUCGAAUAAGGACCGGCUAAUUCCGUGCCAGCAGCCGCGGUAAUACGGAAGGUCCAGGCGUUAUCCGGAUUUAUUGUGUGUAAAGGGAGUGUAGGCGGUUGGUUAAGCGUGUUGUGAAAUGUCGAUGCCCAACAUCUGACUUGCAGCGCGAACUGGCUGACUUGAGUACACACAACGUAGGCGGAAUUCAAGGUGUAGCGGUGAGAUGCUUAGAUAUAAUGAAGAACUCCGAUAGCGAAGGCAGCUUACGGGAGUGUUACUGAAGCUUAAGCUCGAAGGUGCGGGUAUCGAACAGG
rnacentral:rRNA from 1 species